rnacentral:tRNA from 1 species
CGUCCCGUAGCUCAGUGAUAGAGCGCUUGCCUGAUAAGCGAGAGGUCGGAAGUUCAACUUUUCCCGGGACGA